UUAUCUUUGGCUAAUCUAAUUGGAAGGGUACAAAAUUACUUUGAUUUUUUGUACGAUCUUCUAUAAGAAAGACUAACACAUGAACCCUUAUGCAAUAUCAUUAGCCAUUUCUCACCUGGUGUGUUUAGCUGAAAGAUAAGUUGUAUAUAUUUAUAAAUUUAUUCUUAGUUUUAUAGGACUUACAUUAACGUUUCAUAAAUUUCUAUAGAAGAAAGACCUAUUUAAAAAUAUUUUUCAUUUAUUUAUGCAAUUGUGUGCAAUAACUUUUAAAUAUGGACCACCUUAAGAGUAAUCCUUUAACUUUGGUUGAUGAUCUUGCAACUGAAACUCCUGGUCCAUCUGAGAGUGCUACCACCAAUAAAAAAUAAGUCUUAAAUGUUUGGAAUUUUUUCACAAAAAUAGGAAAAAAUGAGGAUGGCAUUAAGGUUGCAUGUAAGUAUUGUGGCAAUAACUACAAAGUUGGAAAACACCCUGUUACUAAAAACAAUUAUGGAACUUCACAUUUAAGUCAGCAUGUCAAUGCAUGUAGAAGUAUUGCAAACUUAGAUGUGGAUCUUUACCAAGAAGGAAAGUUUGGGAUCCGAAAAAUCAAUAAAAAAAUUCAUCGGAAGUUACUUGCAAGAGCUAUAAUUAAACAUAGUCUUCGUUAUAAUUUUGUCGAAUAUGAAGGAAUUAGAGAAUGGAUAAAAUACAUUAAUCCUAAUGUUGACAUGAAAUGUAGGAACACUAUUGUUUCAGAUGUGGAAAAGGAAUACCUUGAACAGAAGGAUAAAGUUAAGCAAAUAAUGUCUAGGAUUCCUAAUAGAAUUUAUUUAACAUCUGAUGUUUGGACUGCAGUUACUUCUGAGGGAUAUAUUUGCCUAACUGCGCACUUUGUUGAUGAAGAUUGGAAAUUAACAAGUAAGAUUCUUAACUUCUGUCGAAUGAAACCACCACAUACAGGUGUUGAACUAGAAAGUGUUGUGUUUGAUUGCCUAAAGCAAUGGGGUAUUGAUAAGAAAAUUUUCUCAAUUACCCUGGACAAUGCUUCUGCCAAUAAUAAUUUGCAAGACAUUCUAAAAAGCCAUCUUUGUGUUCAUAGAAAUUUAUUAUGUGAUGGUGAGUUUUUCCAUGUACGAUGUUGUGCUCAUACUCUUAAUUUGAUAGUUCAAGAUGGUUUAAAGGUGAUUGACAAAGCAAUCCAUAAUAUUAGAGAGAGUAUUAAGUAUGUUAAAUCAUCAGAUAGAAGAACUCUCAAAUUCAAAGAAUGUGUUAGUGAUGUUGGCAUAAAUAUGAGCAUGGGUUUGAGAUUAGAUGUGACUACAAGAUGGAAUUCAACCUAUUUAAUGCUUGAAAGUGCAAUCAAAUAUAAGGAAGCUUUUCAAAUUCUCAAAGUGGUUGAUAGAAAUUAUAAAAAUUGUCCAUCUUCUGAGGAAUGGAAUAGGGGAGAGAAAAUAUGUCAAUUCUUAGAACCAUUUUAUGAGAUUACAAACAUGAUGUCUGGUUCAUCUUAUCCCACUUCAAACUUGUAUUUUAUGCAAAUUUGGAAAAUUCAGCUUAUCAUUGAAGAGAAUUUGUUGAAUGAAGAUGUUACCUUAAAGGAUAUAGCUAUGAAUAUGAAAGAAAAGUUUCAAAAGUAUUGGAAGGAGUAUAGUAUUGGGUUAGCUUUUGGAGCUAUUCUUGAUCUACGACUAAAGGCUGAUUUUACAACAUAUUGUUAUAAAAAAUUGGAUCCUCUAACCUAUGCAGAGAAAACAAAGAAAGUGUUAGAGAAGUUCAAGAGGUUAUUUAAAGAAUAUGUAAAGAAUUUUUCUACCUCUAGUGUUUCUCUUUCCCAAUCACCUACUGAAUCCAUCUUGAUGUCUCAGUCCAAUACUGAAGGGAAAAAGUUUAAGAGAUAGAGGAUUAUUUCGGAUUUUAAAAUGUAUCAAAAUGAAUCAAAAUUUAUCAUUGGAAAGAACGAGAUAGAUGUUUAUUUAGAUGAACCAACAAUAGAUGAUGAUGAAGACAUUGAAGAUUUUGAUGUGCUCAAAUAUUGGAAGACUAAUGAGAAAAAAUUUGUCAUAUUGUCUAUAAUGGCUCGAGAUGUGUUUAGUAUUCCCAUUACUACAGUGGCAUCAGAGUCAGCUUUUAGCAAAGGUGGGUGUGUACUUUCGAAAUAUAGAAGCUCCAUUCUUCCUAGACACAUGCAAAUGUUGAUUUGUACUCAAAAUUGGUUAUAUGGAUUUUCUGAAAAUCCUAGCGACGAAAUUGUUGAAGAUAUAUUUUUGCUCAUGAGAGAAGUGAUGAGUCUAAACUUUUAGAAGAUGUUGAAAGUCUUCAACAUUGAAUAAAGGAUGUUUCAUUUAACUUUGUCUUAGGUACUUCCCU